rnacentral:rRNA from 1 species
UACGGAGGGGGCAAGCGUUGUUCGGAAUUAUUGGGCGUAAAGCGUAUGUAGGCGGCUAGGUAAGUCAGGCGUGCAAGCCCGUGGCUCAACCACGGAAUUGCGUUUGAUACUGCUUAGCUUGAGUACAGGAGAGGAAAGCGGAAUUCCCAGUGUAGCGGUGAAAUGCAUUGAUAUUGGGAAGAACAUCUGUGGCGAAGGCGGCUUUCUGGUCUGUUACUGACGCUGAGAUACGAAAGCCAGGGUAGCGAACGGG